rnacentral:rRNA from 1 species
UCCUACGGGAGGCAGCAGUAAGGAAUAUUGGUCAAUGUGAACCAGCGUUGUAAACUUCUUUUAGAUGGGAAGAAAACUGACGGUACCAUCAGAAUAAGCACCGGCUAACUCCGUGCCAGCAGCCGCGGUAAUACGGAGGGUGCGAGCGUUAUCCGGAAUUACUGGGUUUAAAGGGUAAAUGCAUAGAUAUGCCAUAGAACACCAAUUGCGAAGGCAACUAUCUGGUCUUUUAUUGACGCUGAGGCACGAAAGCGUGGGGAUCGAACAGGAUUAGAUACCUGGUAGUCCACGCCCUAAACGAUGCUAACUCGAUGUUUGGUCUAUAAGAUUGAGCAUCCAAGCGAAAGCGUUAAGUUAGCCACCUGGGGAGUACGACCGCAAGGUUGAAACUCAAAGGAAUUGACGG